GACUAAGUAAAUAGGCAACAACAAGUAGUCUAAGUGUCGUCAUUGUCCCUCUUGACAUUGACAGCGCUGGAGUUGGCAAGAGCAGAAAAAGGUCUGGUCCCGGGCUAUAGGAGGAGACAACAGGUCUGGUCCCGGGCUAUAGGAGGAGACAACAGGUCUGGGCCCAGGCUAUAGGAGGAGACAACAGGUCUAGGCCCAGGCUAUAGGAGGAGACAACAGGUCUGGUCCCGGGCUAUAGGAGGAGACAACAGGUCUGGUCCCGGGCUAUAGGAGGAGACAACAGAUCUAGGCCCAGGCUAUAGGAGGAGACAACAGAUCUAGGCCCAGGCUAUAGGAGGAGACAACAGGUCUGGUCCCAGGCUAUAGGAGGAGACAACAGGUCUGGUCCCAGGCUAUAGGAGGAGACAACAGGUCUAGGCCCAGGCUAUAGGAGGAGACAACAGGUCUGGUCCCAGGCUAUAGGAGGAGACAACAGGUCUGGUCCCGGGCUAUAGGAGGAGACAACAGGUCUGGUCCCGGGCUAUAGGAGGAGACAACAGGUCUGGUCCCAGGCUAUAGGAGGAGACAACAGGUCUGGUCCCGGGCUAUAGGAGGAGACAACAGGUCUGGUCCCGGGCUAUAGGAGGAGACAACAGGUCUGGUCCCAGGCUAUAGGAGGAGACAACAGGUCUGGUCCCAGGCUAUAGGAGGAGACAACAGGUCUGGUCCCGGGCUAUAGGAGGAGACAACAGGUCUGGUCCCAGGCUAUAGGAGGAGACAACAGGUCUGGUCCCGGGCUAUAGGAGGAGACAACAGGUCUGGUCCCAGGCUAUAGGAGGAGACAACAGGUCUGGUCCCGGGCUAUAGGAGGAGACAACAGGUCUGGUCCCGGGCUAUAGGAGGAGACAACAGGUCUGGUCCCGGGCUAUAGGAGGAGACAACAGAUCUAGGCCCAGGCUAUAGGAGGAGACAACAGAUCUAGGCCCAGGCUAUAGGAGGAGACAACAGAUCUAGGCCCAGGCUAUAGGAGGAGACAACAGGUCUGGUCCCAGGCUAUAGGAGGAGACAACAGGUCUGGUCCCGGGCUAUAGGAGGAGACAACAGAUCUAGGCCCAGGCUAUAGGAGGAGACAACAGAUCUAGGCCCAGGCUAUAGGAGGAGACAACAGGUCUGGUCCCAGGCUAUAGGAGGAGACAACAGGUCUGGUCCCAGGCUAUAGGAGGAGACAACAGAUCUAGGCCCAGGCUAUAGGAGGAGACAACAGGUCUGGUCCCAGGCUAUAGGAGGAGACAACAGGUCUGGGCC